GGGCCAGUGAUCUAGUGGUUAUGAUGCAGGCUUGACGUGCCUGAAGUCCCAGGUUCAAAUCCUGGCUGGCCCACCA
rnacentral:tRNA from 1 species